UGGACCUGUUCGCGCUUGCCGGGUGUGACGCUCCGUCCUGUAGGUCAGAAGUCUGGACGUGGCAUUGACGACUGCUUUGCUCAGUCACACAAGGUUGAAAUCGAAGGGUGUGCAUCAUUUCACAGUUAUUGGCAAUGGUUCAAUGGUUUCAUCUGCUUUGAACAGUUUCUUCUCCAUCAUUAAGAGGAAUGGUAUAUGUAAUUUCUUCAAUCAACAGAAGUGGAAACCUGAGUGUAAACCGAUGAAGGUAUAUAUUUGCUAAAUACUUGCUUACCACUUGUUAAACUAAAUUUGGUCUGAGGCUGUCCCUGUACUUUUAGUUUCUACAUAGCCAAAUGCAACCUAGCUUAAGAGUAUAUUAUUGUAACAAAUAGCGUGAGUUUCAGCCACUCACAGCAGCAGAGCUUCAGCCAAUCACAGGCUGGUAACCCCCAAUCAGACAAUGUCCAUAUAAGGCAAAUAUCUCAUCAUGCCAUACACAAAUAAGGUAAACACCACACGGUGUUUCUGAAUGUCAUUGGCUGUUUCUGAAUGUCAUUUCAUUUCUCUGUUUAUAAAUAUCACCUGCCCAUAGUGCUUAGUGGAGCUCAGUAAACUCCCAGUUCUGAGGGCUGCCCAGUUUAUAAAUCAUUCUUUGCUCAAAC